UUUUGGCACAGUCACAAUAGAAGUAUAGUGGUUCAGGUUAACUUUUGGGCCUCAAAACAGCUAGAAUCAGGAUUUGCUUCUCAUGGAGUACAAAAACGAAGGGUUUGUUCUCAACUUCUCAUAGAGUACAAAAACUAACCGUGGUUAUCAAAGUUUGAGCCGAUUUCUGACUUGACUUUUAAUUCUGCUUUGUGGGCAUUCUUCUGUUGAAUACAAAAUAUAUAGCACUGAAUAUACCUCAACGUGUUUUGUACAGAAAGUGAAAGGGAACUUAAUGCAGGAUAAAGUAUCCUUCCAUUUUAUAAUAUAAUGAUAUGGAUGCCCCAAACUUGGUUAUCUGUGGCUUCUGCAAAGUCCUUUGUCUCAGCUUACUUCAAUAUUUUUAACCUCUUGAUGUGCAA